UACGUAGGGUGCGAGCGUUAAUCGGAAUUACUGGGCGUAAAGCGUGCGCAGGCGGUUUUGUAAGCCAGAUGUGAAAUCCCCGGGCUCAACCUGGGAAUGGCAUUUGGGACUGCAAGGCUCGAGUGCGGCAGAGGAGACUGGAAUUCCUGGUGUAGCAGUGAAAUGCGUAGAUAUCAGGAGGAACACCGGUGGCGAAGGCGGCUUCCUGGACCGACACUGACGCUGAGGCGCGAAAGCUAGGGGAGCAAACGGG
rnacentral:rRNA from 1 species